rnacentral:rRNA from 1 species
GACGAACGCUGGCGGCGUGCUUAACACAUGCAAGUCGAACGAUGAAGCCGGAGCUUGCUCUGGUGAAUUAGUGGCGAACGGGUGAGUAACACGUGAGUAACCUGCCCUUGACUCUGGGAUAACUGCUAGAAAUGGUAGCUAAUACCGGAUACGACCCUCGGAGGCAUCUCCAGGGGGUGGAAAGAAUUUCGGUCAAGGAUGGACUCGCGGCCUAUCAGCUAGUUGGUGAGGUAACGGCUCACCAAGGCGACAACGGGUAGCCGGCCUGAGAGGGUGACCGGCCACACUGGGACGGAGACACGGCCCAGACUCCUACGGGAGGCAGCAGUGGGGAAUAUUGCACAAUGGGCGCAAGCCUGAUGCAGCAACGCCGCGUGAGGGAUGACGGCCUUCGGGUUGUAAACCUCUUUUAGUAGGGAAGAUGCGAAAGUGACGGUACCUGCAGAAAAAGCACCGGCUAACUACGUGCCAGCCGCCGCCGUAA